GCCGGUAUAGCUCAGUCGGUAGAGCAACGGUUUUGUAAACCGUGGGUCGCGGGUUCGAUUCCUGCUGCCGGCACCA
rnacentral:tRNA from 1 species